CCUACGGGGGUCAGCAGUGGGGAAUAUUGCACAAUGGGGGAAACCCUGAUGCAGCGACGCCGCGUGAGUGAAGAAGUAUUUCGGGAUGUAAAGCUCUAUCAGCAGGGAAGAAAAUGACGGUACCUGAUUAGGAAGCCCCGGCUAACUACGUGCCAGCAGCCGGGGUAAUACGUAGGGGGCAAGCGUUAUCCGGAUUUACUGGGUGUAAAGGGAGCGUAGACGGCAGCAACAGUCUGGAGUGAAAUGCCGGGGCUUAACCCCGGCACUGCCUGUGAAACUGUGCAGCUAGAGUGCAGGCGGGGUAAGUGGAAUUCCUAGUGUAGCGGUGAAAUGCGUAGAUAUUAGGAGGAACACCAGUGGCGAAGGCGGCGUACUGGACUGUAACUGACGUUGAGGCUCGAAAGCGUGGGGAGCAAACAGGAUUAGAUACCCGAGUAGUC
rnacentral:rRNA from 1 species